rnacentral:rRNA from 1 species
AGCAGUAGCCGCGGGAAUACGAAGGGUGCAAGCGUUAAUCGGAAUUACUGGGCGUAAAGCGUGCGUAGGCGGUGAGUUAAGUCUGCUGUGAAAUCCCCGGGCUCAACCUGGGAAUUGCAGUGGAUACUGGGUCACUAGAGUGUGGUAGAGGAUAGUGGAAUUUCCGGUGUAGCAGUGAAAUGCGUAGAGAUCGGAAGGAACAUCUGUGGCGAAGGCGACUAUCUGGGCCAACACUGACACUGAGGCACGAAAGCGUGGGGAGCAAACAGGAUUAGAUACCCGUGUAGUCCCUGUCUCUUAUAC